rnacentral:lncRNA from 1 species
UAUUUUGAGGAAAAAGACUUUGUGGAUAAAGCAGAGAAGAGCCUAAAGCAGACUCCCCACAGUGAGAUAAUAUUUUAUAAAAAUGGUGUCAAUCAAGGUGUGGCUUACAAAGAUAUUUUUGAGGGAGUUUACUUUCCGGCCAUCUCACUGUACAAGAGCUGCACGGUUUCCAUUAAUUUUGGACCAUGCUUCAAGUAUCCUCCGAAGGAUCUCAGUUACCACCCCGUGAGUAACAUUAAAGUGUCUACAUACGUCUUGAGCAUGUGUUUCUUGCUGUGGCUAUUGUAAUCUCCCUGCUUUCCUGUUUUGGUUCCUCUUGCAGAUGAGCGACAUGGGCUGGGGAGCUGU